GGGGAAUUUUCCUGCAAUGGGCGAAAGCCUGACGGAGCAAUACCGCGUGAGGGAGGAAGGCUCUUGGGUUGUAAACCUCUUUUCUCAGGGAAUAAGAACUGAAGGUACCUGAGGAAUCAGCAUCGGCUAACUCCGUGCCAGCAGCCGCGGUAAUACGGAGGAUGCAAGCGUUAUCCGGAAUGAUUGGGCGUAAAGCGUCCGCAGGUGGUUUAUCAAGUCUGCUGUCAAAGAGUUUGGCUCAACCAAAUAAAGGCAGUGGAAACUGACAGACUGGAGUGCGGUAAGGGCAGAGGGAAUUCCUGGUGUAGCGGUGAAAUGCGUAGAGAUCAGGAAGAACACCGGUGGCGAAAGCGCUCUGCUGGGCCGUAACUGACACUGAGGGACGAAAGCUAGGGGAGCGAAUGGGAUUANAUACCCCAGUAGUC
rnacentral:rRNA from 1 species